rnacentral:rRNA from 1 species
CCGAAGUAGCAAUACUUUGGUGAGAGUGGCGCACGGGUGCGUAACGCGUAUGCAACCUACCUUUAACUGGGACACAACCCGCCGAAAGGCUGGCUAAUAUCCCAUAACAUUGCGAUGUGGCAUCACAUUGCAACUAAAGCUCCGGCGGUUAUAGAUGGGCAUGCGUGACAUUAGCUAGUUGGUAAGGUAACGGCUCACCAAGGCUUCGAUGUCUAGGGGUUCUGAGAGGAUUAUCCCCCACACUGGUACUGAGACACGGACCAGACUCCUACGGGAAGCAGCAGUAAGGAAUAUUGGGCAAUGGACGCAAGUCUGACCCAGCCAUGCCGCGUGAAGGAUGAAGGCCCUAUGGGUUGUAAACUUCUUUUAUACGGGAAAAAACCUUCGGUCGUGAACCGGAGCUGAUGGUACCGUAAGAAUAAGCAUCGGCUAACUCCGUGCCAGCAGCCGCGGUAAUACGGAGGAUGCAAGCGUUAUCCGGAUUCAUUGGGUUUAAAGGGUGCGCAGGCGGAGUGAUAAGUCAGUGGUGAAAUCCUACGGCUCAACUGUAGAACUGCCAUUGAUACUGUCAUUCUUGAGUACUGUUGAGGUGGGCGGAAUGUGUCAUGUAGCGGUGAAAUGCUUAGAUAUGACACAGAACACCGAUCGCGAAGGCAGCUCACCAAGCAGAAACUAACGCUCAUGCACGAAAGCGUGGGGAUCAAACAGGAUUAGAUACCCUGGUAGUCCACGCUGUAAACGAUGAUCACUCGAUGUUGGCGAUAUACUGUCAGCGUCUUAGCGAAAGUAUUAAGUGAUCC